AGCAGGAGUAGGAGCAGGAGGAGGAGAAGCAGGAGGUGGAGGAGGAGGAGUAGGAGCAGCAGCAGAAGAGAUUAGGCCCAGGUGGUCUGGAACCCGCAGAGGUCUAUGAGUCUCUCUCUAAGGUAGAACACACCUGUGAGUCACAUCAGAGCGUGUUGCGGGUACUGGACUGGAUGCCUGGACUCUCCUCAUGGAUAACCGGCCAGAACCCCAUCACCAUUUUAAUAUGAUGUGCAUGUAUUUACCUGUGUGUCAAUUGUGGCACCCAUUGCACUCCUGACCAUCCCUGGAAGAAGGGAUCCCCUACACUGCGUUUCUUCUCAAGAUUUCUUCCUUGCUGAUUCAAGGGAGUUUAUUCUUGCCCGUGUGGGGGCCUGGGUAAAGGGGGGUGUCACAAAUAUUUGGCCUGUUAAGCCCUUUGAGACUGUAAUGGUGAUUAAGGGCUAUACAAAUAAAAUUGAAUUGAAUUGAAUUGAAGUCCUGUUUCUUGUAGGGAACAGCACAAACAGGAGGCCAUGUUCCUCCUGGCGCUGUAUUGAUCCUGGGCUCUUGACCGCUGGCCAGGGAAGGGCCAGGGAUGAAGAAAAAGGAUUUUUGAUAUGACAGCACUGCAUCCAUUCCUACCACUUCCUAUGGGGUUGCCAAAGAGACUGUAGAGGUCAAUCCAGCUGGAGCAGACAUCCCACUAGGGAAUCGGGCCUGGAGCCAACCGAUAUACGGAUCUAUGAUUUCAGCCGGGGGUUUCAGAAGAGGACGACGACUCUGACACAAAACUAAGAAAUAUUUCCUGUGGGGAAUCUGGAUCAGAACUGCUCACCUGAUGAUGGGAAACUGAACUGAGGCAUAAUGGAGCGUUCCCACCAUUCCCAUCAACACGGUGCGAUCCCGAGGUGCCAGCCUUUCCUUGCGUCCGUUCCCGGGUUAACCCGUGGGAGCUUUCCCAUGAAUUAACGUCUACAUCCCUCCAUGGAAUACGUUGUUUUGGACAGCAUGACCUUCGACUGCUACAAACCGUUGUCUAAACCGGCCAAAUCACGACAAAAAGGAGGACCCUCGGGAAGAGGUUUUGGCCAUUAAGU
ensembl:lncRNA